rnacentral:rRNA from 1 species
GACGAACGCUGGCGGCGUGCUUAACACAUGCAAGUCGAACGGUGAAGCGCCUUCCUUUUUGGUGGGUGUGGAUGAUGGCCGACGGGGGGGGUACCCCGUGAGAACCUUGCCCCCUCUUUCUGGUAACCGGAUUGAAAGUGGGCCAAAUCCGGGUUAUUUUGGUCUUUUGCAUUGUGGGGCUUGGGAAGGUGAUUGUUUGGUGGGGGGUGGGGCUCGCGGCCUUUCAGCUGGUUGGUGGGGUGUUGGCCUACAAAGGCGGUGACGGGUAGCCGGCCUGAGAGGGUGGACGGUCACACUGGGACUGAGACACGGCCCAGACUCCUACGGGAGGCAGCAGUGGGGAAUAUUGCACAAUGGGCGCAAGCCUGAUGCAGCGACGCCGCGUGAGGGAUGGAGGCCUUCGGGUUGUGAACCUCUUUCGCCAGUGAAGCAGGCCUGCCUCGUUUGUGGGUGGGUUGACGGUAGCUGGAUAAGAAGCGCCGGCUAACUACGUG